rnacentral:rRNA from 1 species
UACGUAGGGUGCGAGCGUUGUCCGGAAUUAUUGGGCGUAAAGGGCUCGUAGGCGGUCUGUCGCGUCGGCUGUGAAAACUCGGGGCUCAACUCCGGAAUUGCCUUUGAGACUGCAUCGCUAGAAUUGUGGAGAGGUAAGUGGAAUUCCGAGUGUAGAGGUGAAAUUCGUAGAUAUUCGGAAGAACACCGGUGGCGAAGGCGGGUCUCUGGGCAGUAACUGACGCUGAGGAGCGAAAGCGUGGGGAGCGAACAGG